rnacentral:rRNA from 1 species
CGGAUCAGCCCGCUCCCGGUAAAACGGGACGGCCCGCCAGAGGACCCCUAAACUCUGUUUCUAUAUGUAACUUCUGAGUAAAACCAUAAAUAAAUCAAAACUUUCAACAACGGAUCUCUUGGUUCUGGCAUCGAUGAAGAACGCAGCAAAAUGCGAUAAGUAAUGUGAAUUGCAGAAUUCAGUGAAUCAUCGAAUCUUUGAACGCACAUUGCGCCCGCCAGUAUUCUGGCGGGCAUGCCUGUUCGAGCGUCAUUUCAACCCUCAAGCACAGCUUGGUGUUGGGACUCGCGUUAAUUCGCGUUCCUCAAAUUGAUUGGCGGUCACGUCGAGCUUCCAUAGCGUAGUAGUAAAACCCUCGUUACUGGUAAUCGUCGCGGCCACGCCGUUAAACCCCAACUUCUGAAUGUUGACCUCGGAUCAGGUAGGAAUACCCGCUGAACUUAA